GGCUUAACACAUGCAAGUCGAGGGCAGCAUUUUAGUUUGCUUGCAAACUGAAGAUGGCGACCGGCGCACGGGUGAGUAACACGUAUCCAACCUGCCGAUAACUCCGGAAUAGCCUUUCGAAAGAAAGAUUAAUACCGGAUGGCAUACGAAUAUCGCAUGAUAUUUUUAUUAAAGAAUUUCGGUUAUCGAUGGGGAUGCGUUCCAUUAGUUUGUUGGCGGGGUAACGGCCCACCAAGACUACGAUGGAUAGGGGUUCUGAGAGGAAGGUCCCCCACAUUGGAACUGAGACACGGUCCAAACUCCUACGGGAGGCAGCAGUGAGGAAUAUUGGUCAAUGGGCGAGAGCCUGAACCAGCCAAGUAGCGUGAAGGAUGAAGGCUCUAUGGGUCGUAAACUUCUUUUAUAUGGGAAUAAAGUUUUCCACGUGUGGAAUUUUGUAUGUACCAUAUGAAUAAGGAUCGGCUAACUCCGUGCCAGCAGCCGCGGUAAUACGGAGGAUCCGAGCGUUAUCCGGAUUUAUUGGGUUUAAAGGGAGCGUAGGUGGAUUGUUAAGUCAGUUGUGAAAGUUUGCGGCUCAACCGUAAAAUUGCAGUUGAAACUGGCAGUCUUGAGUACAGUAGAGGUGGGCGGAAUUCGUGGUGUAGCGGUGAAAUGCUUAGAUAUCACGAAGAACUCCGAUUGCGAAGGC
rnacentral:rRNA from 1 species